AGAGUUUGAUCAUGGCUCAGAAUCAACGCUGGCGGCAGGCUUAACACAUGCAAGUCGAGCGCCCAGCAAUGGGAGCGGCGGACGGGUGAAUAACGCGUGGGAAUAUGCCCUUUGGUUCGGAACAACUCAGGGAAACUUGAGCUAAUACCGGAUGAGCCAGAAAUGGGAAAGAUUUAUCGCCAAAGGAUUAGCCCGCGUCC
rnacentral:rRNA from 1 species